UCUGUAUAAGCAGUCAAUAUAAUAUUUAAUACAGUCCUUGUUUAGACGGUUAACUGCUAAUUAUGGUUAGGUACAUAAUCACUGUAGUAAAUAUCCGCUCUUACUACUGAUUGUCAUGAAUAAGCCAUCAAACGGGAUAUAAGAUGGUGGUUUGUUGCAAAAUAGCAAUUAAAUUGGACAUUGUAGAAGUCGACACUCAAGAGAUACCAAACAAAAGAACACUAUUCCUUUAAGAUGAAGUAUGCAGCAGUAAUUUUGUUGUCUUUUGCUGUGAUGUUGGCCCUUCUACCUGACGUCACCCAAGGAUUGAGCAACUCCCAACGAUGUAUGAUUGGCUGUAAGCAAAGGACUGCACUUUGCUUUAUAUUUUGCCAUGGGAGAAUUAAGUGUAAUAGCUGUUUAAGGUCGAUAGAGAAAUGUCGCCUAUUGUGCUACUGAGAAAACCGUUCAUCGUUUUAUUUAGCUGAUGAGCACAUGCAGUUUGCAAUAAUGAAAAACAUGGUUGCAAUAUUAAGAUUAGAGUCAAAAUAAACAUAUAUACCAA